rnacentral:rRNA from 1 species
GACGAACGCUGGCGGCGUGCCUAAUACAUGCAAGUCGAACGAGAGCGACCGGUGCUUGCACUGGUCAAUCUAGUGGCGAACGGGUGAGUAACACGUGGGUAACCUGCCCAUCAGAGGGGGAUAACAUCCGGAAACGGAUGCUAAAACCGCAUAGGUCUUCGAACCGCAUGGUUUGAAGAGGAAAAGAGGCGCAAGCUUCUGCUGAUGGAUGGACCCGCGGUGCAUUAGCUAGUUGGUGAGGUAACGGCUCACCAAGGCCGUGAUGCAUAGCCGACCUGAGAGGGUGAUCGGCCACAUUGGGACUGAGACACGGCCCAAACUCCUACGGGAGGCAGUAGUAGGGAAUCUUCCGCAAUGGACGCAAGUCUGACGGAGCAACGCCGCGUGAGUGAAGAAGGUUUUCGGAUCGUAAAACUCUGUUGUUAGAGAAGAACAAGUGCUAGAGUAACUGUUAGCGCCUUGACGGUAUCUAACCAGAAAGCCACGGCUAACUACGUG